GAUGAACGCUGGCGGCGUGCCUAAUACAUGCAAGUCGAGCGAACAGAUAAGGAGCUUGCUCCUUUGACGUUAGCGGCGGACGGGUGAGUAACACGUGGGUAACCUACCUAUAAGACUGGGAUAACUUCGGGAAACCGGAGCUAAUACCGGAUAAUAUUUCGAACCGCAUGGUUCGAUAGUGAAAGAUGGUUUUGCUAUCACUUAUAGAUGGACCCGCGCCGUAUUAGCUAGUUGGUAAGGUAACGGCUUACCAAGGCGACGAUACGUAGCCGACCUGAGAGGGUGAUCGGCCACACUGGAACUGAGACACGGUCCAGACUCCUACGGGAGGCAGCAGUAGGGAAUCUUCCGCAAUGGGCGAAAGCCCGACGGAGCAACGCCGCGUGAGUGAUGAAGGUCUUCGGAUCGUAAAACUCUGUUAUUAGGGAAGAACAUACGUGUAAGUAACUGUGCACGUCUUGACGGUACCUAAUCAGAAAGCCACGGCUAACUACGUG
rnacentral:rRNA from 1 species